GCGCUGCAGGGACUUUUCCACCUGGGGGGAAAUUGGGGGUGAGUCAGAGACCCAGGCAAGCCCUGGUUUCUGUCCAUAUGGCUUUGAGGGUACACAAAGCCCCAGGGGUGAAGCAAGGCUGACUGCUGCAACCCCACGUGGCCCACAUGGCCAGGCCUGAGGAUGUGACAGUGGGGCACUGACCAGGCAUCUUGCGAGGGAUGAAGGGAAGGAUUUUACAAUCAGAGCCCUCGAGGGCUGGUGCAACAGAAGGAUUCUGUCCCUCCCCUAAACCAACCCCUUGCACACUCUCCACAGACAGUAAAGCAACAUGUCUGAACACACAGGGGCCUGCCUCAAACCCUGUAAUGGCUCCUGCCCACUAGGGAUAAACCCUCAGGCCCUUCAGGAACCCCCUCGCUGCCCACAGCCCAGCAUCAUCAUGGGGUCUUGGCUGGCAAUGCCCUUCUUCCCCAUUCCUCCCACUCAGCCUUCGUCCCUCCGCACUGGCCUCUGGAGCCUAUACCUCCCUCCACCGGGAAGUGUCCUCCUGUCAUCCAGGACCUGAACAGUUGCCUGGCACUUCUACGCUGGUCACCCAAGUCACUGCUGCAUGAACUACAUGAUAAACACUGGGAUGCCGGAGCACAGGCGUCCAGACAGGAGGAAGUGUGUACUCACAUCAGCCAGGAGGAAACAAGCCUGCCCGGGAGGACAGAAGAUCAGCCCUGGCUGUCACUCAGGCAGGGCGGGCCUCCAAGACACUGCCUACUGGAUCAAGGAAUAUCCAGGAGGUGUUAGAAGAGCAGGAGAAGCAGGUGAGCAGCCCUCCGUGCCUGCCUGUGCAUGCUCCGCCUGGCAGAACCAAGGGAUGGCCGUGAGCAUGACCAAACGCCUGACACCAGCACCUGGGGCUGCCAGGCAGCCACCCCUGCAGCUGUGUUGUUUGCUGGCUGACAGGGCCUGGCAGUGCUGUGGCUCCACCCCAGGGCUGACCCACCUUUGGAAAAUGACACCAGCAGUAUCAGGAUGUGUCAACUGGAUUUAUGUUAAGAAAACAGGAUUUUCAGUAUUCCUCUUUUUCCCAAAGUUUGAGACACUUUCAGACACUCUGCUUUGCAGUUAUGGCUGAUGUUACCCAUGGGGGGCGGGGGACUUUUGCUUUGCUCUAAAUUUUCGUAACACCCUGGGGAGUUUCGGGGGCCAAUGCUGAGAGAAGACCACAGGCUGACGCAUCAUGACGCAUGUGGGUAAAACAGUCCCGGCUGGCUGAGAGGCCAGUGAGGGAAUAGGCCCAGGGUUUGGUUUGUACUCUGUGAGUCUUGGCCUGGCAGGGUCUUCUGCACAGCAGAGCCCUCUGAGUGGCUGCUGUGGGCAACUUUCCACAGGGACCCCAGGGGAAGCAGGUUGUUGCCUAGAGCUGAGGGCAGCUCUGUACGUGCCUGCCUUCCCACCUCCCCUGUGACCAGAUGUCACAGGAACAUUCUCUCUUUACUCCCUAGACCCUCCAGGCAGGCCCACUAAGAGAAUGUAUUCUAGAACAUGCAGGGCCUGAAGCUUCACAAAAUAUUCAGUACACUCCUUAUAGAUCUUCUCAAAUGUGGACCGGGUGGUGUCAUCAGCACCACCAUCAUCCCCUUGUUACCGCUGAGGACACAGCUUCAGAGAGCGUAAGUAACCUAUCUCAGGCCACACAGCCAGGACAUGGAGCUAGAUCCAUCCUAAGUCUUUCUACCACACACUCCUUUCUACAGUCAUGGUUUAAGUGAGGGUGCAAUGGAAUGGGUCAUCCAGUGUACACUGACAUCAGGAGGAGUUUCACAUUCACACUCCCAUGGCAAAUGGUUCAGUUGCUCCCUGGUCCAAAGAUGAUCUUAAUAGUAGGAAAAAUUCAUUUGGCAGAAGGAAAACUCAGCACACAGGCUCUCUCCCUGAGUCUUCUGCAGCUGGCCCUGCCCUGCCCUCCCCUCCCCUCCCUAACCCCACUUGCAGAAUAAAGUCAGGGGGCUGUGAGGACUGAGCCCCAGGCCUUGACAGGCACCUGCAGCCGGCUGAACUCCCACCU